rnacentral:rRNA from 1 species
GAUGAACGCUGGCGGCGUGCCUAAUACAUGCAAGUCGAGCGAACGGACUAGAAGCUUGCUUCUCUGAUGUUAGCGGCGGACGGGUGAGUAACACGUGGAUAACCUACCUAUAAGACUGGGAUAACUUCGGGAAACCGUAGCUAAUACCGGAUAAUAUUUUGAACCGCAUGGUUCAAAAGUGAAAGACGGUCUUGCUGUCACUUAUAGAUGGAUCCGCGCUGCAUUAGCUAGUUGGUAAGGUAACGGCUUACCAAGGCAACGAUGCAUAGCCGACCUGAGAGGGUGAUCGGCCACACUGGAACUGAGACACGGUCCAGACUCCUACGGGAGGCAGCAGUAGGGAAUCUUCCGCAAUGGGCGAAAGCCUGACGGAGCAACGCCGCGUGAGUGAUGAAGGUCUUCGGAUCGUAAAACUCUGUUAUUAGGGAAGAACAUAUGUGUAAGUAACUGUGCACAUCUUGACGGUACCUAAUCAGAAAGCCACGGCUAACUACGUG